CGGAUUGAAACUUGAAAACAUGGGGCUAUCGGGGAUAAUUGACAUAGACACCCUUUCGGAGUUGCCAUAUUUGCAGUCAAUAAGCUUCAAGAACAACUUCUUUGACGGUCCAAUGCCUAGCAACAUAAAUAAACUUAGGACUCUUAGAGCAUUGUAUCUGUCGAAUAACAAUUUCUCCGACGAGAUUCCAGGUGAUACUUUUUCGGGCAUGAACUUGAGGAAAGUCAAUCUGGAAAACAAUGAGUUUACUGGGAAAAUUCCCAAGUCUCUCACGGAACUGCCUAAACUUGUGGAUUUGCAGCUGCAGAAUAACAAGUUUGAAGGAGAAAUACCUUAUUUUAAACAAAAAGAUUUAGUAGCAAAUUUGGCUAACAACAGACUUGAGGGUCCAAUUCCAGCUGCGCUAAGUGAUGAGAAUUCAAGCUUUUUCAAUGGUACGUCUUAUUUCAUUGAUUUGUCCCAAAGCCAAAACUUUACCAAUUUAAGCUCUUGAUCAAGGACAUGUCGGUAAAUUUUGAGCAACUAACACAUCAUUCUUAGUUUUAAAUUUCCCCCCUUAAAUGUGAUUUAGUUGCUUAUAGCACUUUAAGAAAAUGAAAAAGAAAAAAAGUUAAUCUUAUGAUUUUCUGCUAAAGAAAACACAUGAUCUUUCCAAUUUAUACAUUAAAUUAGUAUUUCAGUUGCAGGGUAUGCAUAGUUAAUUAUCCAACAAAAGUUUACGAAGCAAAAAUCAUGUUAGGUAUAACUUUACUUGCAUUUUUCAGUCUGAUUUACUGAAAGAUCUGCAAGUUUGAAGAUACCCUGCUAUCAAAUUAUCAAGCUUUACAAUUAUAUAUUAUUAAUUUAUUAUUGGUAGUUUAGUAAUCACUAAGUAAAGAGAAUCUUAAUAUCUCUCAUACAUAGCAGAGUAUCUGAUGUGCUAUAUUAAAGAGGACAAAUUAGAAGUAAAAUGAAUGAAAAAGAUAAACCAAGAUGGAUCAAGUCACAGAGAAGAAAACUAUUAAAAAAGAUAGCAAGAAAGAUACCAUUGUUCUUGAUCUCCAAGUGUUUGGAAGUAAUUUGUUUAGUGGCAUGCACGUUCAUCCUGAAAUUUAAAAAAAGUCAUUGUAAAACCAAACAGUUUAUCAGCACCAAAUAAUUUAUCAUAUUACUAUAUUCUUUAUUAUAUUAUAAAAAGUUCCAAAUAUGUCCUUUCCAUUAUAAUACUGGUGAUAAUAACUAACAAUUUAUGGUAACCAACAUUAACUCCUCUUUAUUCAAAAGGCAAAACAAGGAAAUACUGUUAGGCUCACUGAGAAAGUCAUGUUUGCCUUUGUUUUUGUCCCCAAAUGAGUGUCAAUCUUUCAAAAAUUGACGCUGACAGAGUAGAUGAGGAGGAGGAUAAUGACGAUGAUAAAUUUUUAGAAAAUGAAAUUAUAUGUCGAUUAAUUUUAUGUCACAUGUGGAUCGCAACUAAGCUGGAAUUGUGGAAUUGCAAGCCAUAAAAUAGAAUAGUAAUAUGUGGAUCCCUUUUUUAUACUCUCAUUUCUCAUGUAUCUACAUACUUUGAUAUUUAAUAUCGAUAUAAAUAUAUCGUCAUAUAUAGCAAGACUCUAAAUUUUUGUAUAAUUUAAAUGAUAAUGAUUAUCAUCCAAAAAAAUAGAAGAAACACAAGAUAAUCUCCUGACUAGACAUAUUAUUCAUAGAUUAAACAUGUAACAUUAUAUUUUACUGGCCUGAUUGAGCAGGAAACAGCCUGUGUGGUGCACCUCUGGACAAAUGCAAGCCCUCCAAGAAGCGAUCUAUCCCAAAAGUUGCCAUCAUCGUUGCUGUCG
rnacentral:lncRNA from 1 species